rnacentral:rRNA from 1 species
GAUGAACGCUAGCGGCAGGCUUAACACAUGCAAGUCGAGGGGUAUAGUAGCAAUACUAGAGACCGGCGCACGGGUGCGUAACGCGUAUGCAAUCUACCUUUUACAGAGGGAUAGCCCAGAGAAAUUUGGAUUAAUACCGCAUAGCAUUGCGAAAUGGCAUCAUUUUGCAAUUAAAGUCACAACGGUAAAAGAUGAGCAUGCGUCCCAUUAGCUAGUUGGUAAGGUAACGGCUUACCAAGGCAACGAUGGGUAGGGGUCCUGAGAGGGAGAUCCCCCACACUGGUACUGAGACACGGACCAGACUCCUACGGGAGGCAGCAGUGAGGAAUAUUGGACAAUGGGCGAAAGCCUGAUCCAGCCAUGCCGCGUGAUAGAUGAAGGCCCCUCUGGGUUGUAAAAUAUCUUUUUANCUGGGAAGAAACAAUCUUAUUCUUAAGAUCUUGACGGUACCAGAGGAAUAAGCACCGGCUAACUCCGUGCCAGCAGCCG